UACGAAGGGGGCUAGCGUUGCUCGGAAUUACUGGGCGUAAAGGGUUCGUAGGCGGUGUGGCAAGUCGGGAGUGAAAUCUCUGGGCUUAACCCAGAGGCUGCUUCCGAAACUGCCGUGCUAGAGUGCGGGAGAGGCGAGUGGAAUUGCAGGUGUAGCGGUGAAAUGCGUAGAUAUCAGGAGGAACACCUGUGGUGUAGACGGCUUUCUGGACCAUAGCUGACGCUGAGACACGAAAGCGUGGGUAGCAAACAGG
rnacentral:rRNA from 1 species